GAGUUUGAUCGUGGCUCAGAUUGAACGCUGGCGGCAUGCUUUACACAUGCAAGUCGAGCGGCAGCGCGGGGGCAACCCUGGCGGCGAGCGGCGAACGGGUGAGUAAUGCAUCGGAACGUGUCCUGGAGUGGGGGAUAACCCGGCGAAAGCCGGGCUAAUACCGCAUACGCUCUACGGAGGAAAGCGGGGGACCGCAAGGCCUCGCGCUCAAGGAGCGGCCGAUGUCCGAUUAGCUAGUUGGUGGGGUAAAGGCCCACCAAGGCGACGAUCGGUAGCUGGUCUGAGAGGAUGAUCAGCCACACUGGGACUGAGACACGGCCCAGACUCCUACGGGAGGCAGCAGUGGGGAAUUUUGGACAAUGGGGGCAACCCUGAUCCAGCCAUGCCGCGUGCGGGAAGAAGGCCU
rnacentral:rRNA from 1 species